rnacentral:rRNA from 1 species
GAUGAACGCUGGCGGCGUGCCUAAUACAUGCAAGUCGAGCGAACGGACGAGAAGCUUGCUUCUCUGAUGUUAGCGGCGGACGGGUGAGUAACACGUGGAUAACCUACCUAUAAGACUGGGAUAACUUCGGGAAACCGGAGCUAAUACCGGAUGAUAUUUUGAACCGCAUGGUUAAAAAGUGAAAGACGGUCUUGCUGUCACUUAUAGCUGGAUCCGCGCUGCAUUAGCUAGUUGGUAAGGUAACGGCUUACCAAGGCAACGAUGCAUAGCCGACCUGAGAGGGUGAUCGGCCACACUGGAACUGAGGCACGGUCCAGACUCCUACGGGAGGCAGCAGUAGGGAAUCUUCCGCAAUGGGCGAAAGCCUGACGGAGCAACGCCGCGUGAGUGAUGAAGGUCUUCGGAUCGUAAAACUCUGUUAUUAGGGAAGAACAUAUGUGUAAGUAACUGUGCACAUCUUGACGGUACCUAAUCAGAAAGCCACGGCUAACUACGUG